AGCAGAAAGUAAACUAGAGAGCACAAAACACAAAGUCACACUCUUGUAUAACAUACACUCAGUAAAAAGGAGGCCCACUAGAGCAGGGUUUCUCAACCUGGCACUAUUGCAUUUGGGGCUGUCUGAGUCUUGCUGUGGGGGCUGCCUGUGCAUUGUGGGGUAUUAGCAGCAUCUCUGAAUUCUACUCAGUAGAUACCAGUAGCCCCCCCACAACCAAAAAUGUCUCUGGACAUUGCCAAAUGUCUCCUGAGGUUGGGGGAGUGAGAAUCACUGCCCCACAGUUACAUCCUGGCAGAGUUAAGCAAUGAAACAAAAUCACUGGCCAUUAAUAAUACUAUAUGAUUUUCAAUUAAGAGCUUAUUUACACACCAAGUACCUUAGAAACCUGAUCUCAUCCCAUCCUCAUCAAAACCUUAUGGUGUGUACAAGCUGGAAUGAUGCCUAUUUUAUAGGUUAGGGCACUGAGGCACAAAGAGUUUAGUGGAUGCCUAGCUGCACAGUAGUGACCGAUAGAGCAGGCAUUUGAAGCCUGCCCUGCCAUCUUAGUCAGUGCACCGAGAUAUGAAGAGCAUUUUUAAAGUGUGCUAGGCUCUUUCAUUUUCAUUACAUGUCCACUGAUAUGGUUUGACUCUGUGUCCCCACCGAAAUCUCAUGUCGAAAUGCAAUCCCCACAUGUUGGAGGAGGGACCUGGUGGGAAGUGAUUGGAUCAUGGAGGUGGAUUUCCCUCCUACUGUUCUCGUGAUAGUGAGUGAGUUCUCAUGAGAUCCAAUGGUUUAAAAGUGUGUGGCACUUCCUCCCUUCACUCUCUCUCUCUCUCCGGCCACCAUGUGAAGAUAUGCGUGCUUCCCCUUCACCCUUCUGCCAUGAUUUCAGGACCUGGGAGAGAAAAAAGCUACCAGCAACAUUCAGACUGAGAGAGGCCAAAAUACUAAUUCAUAAUUAGCCUGGUACAUAUGAAGGAUCAAAAAGAACAGGACUGUAUGUCUGACCUCUGACAGGCCCUACCACCAUAGUAGAGACUCAGUAUGUAUACUUAAUGAAGGAAUAAUGAAUACAUCAGCAAGAGAAAUAAGAGUGACCAUAUGUUCCUUAAGAGAAGCAAAGAGCAGCUCCUGUUCCUGGAUCUUAAGAAAAAUCAAGAAACCAAGUUGAGAAACUAAGAAAAAAAGAAAAACUGUUUACUUCUCCCAUAAUUAUUAAAGACUAACAAUCAACGUGGAGGCAUUACUGGUUAGAAGGAGUUCACUGAUGUCUAGUUGAAAGCAAGACAUUUGGUGGCUGGAGGUUAAGGCCAACAUUUCCAGGAACCUAAACAAGACAUAGAGGAGAAAAGCAAGAACCAUCUCAUCAGUCAGUCUUGCUAUAACUGUUGUCUUGUUAUGAACAGUUGCUCAUGGCCCUGUCUGCUGCUACUGGUUACGGUUCUUUGCAAAUACGUGAAGAGAGGAAAUGAAAGAAGAAGAAGAUGUGAAUAUUAUCGAAGUGGUCUCCCUUGGGAAAUCAAAAAACUGUUCUAAAAUCUGAAUUAGUAAAAGCAAUAUUGAUUUCAAUAGAAAAAAACUAAAAUUAUUAAAAAAGGAAAUGAGCUUAUAUGAAGCUACAUGUAUCCUAAUGCCUGGCUUGAAUAUAGUUUUGGAUGCAUUCUUAAUAAAUGAGAAAACAUCAAUGUGAAAUAAAAGCAGCAGUUUUUGUCACAAAACAAAGAUCGAGACUGUUGGAUAAGAUGGCUAGUGCUUUGUGUUUUAAAAUUCAGUAGAAAAUUCAGAAAUAAAGCCAAAUACUUACAGCCAGCUAAUCUUUGACAAAGCAUACAAGAACAUAAAUUGGGGAAAGGAUACCCUAUUCAACAAAUGGUGCUGGAAAAGCUGGCAAGCCACAUGUAGAAGAAUGAAACUAGAUCCUCAUCUCUCACCUUAUACAAAAAUCAACUCAAGAUGGAUCAAAGACGUAAAUCUAAGAGCUGAAACUAUAAGAAAUUCUAAAAGAUAACAUUGUUUUUUCCCUUUUUUCUUCUUCUGUUUUUUUUUUUCUUUUUCUUUUUCUUUUUUUUGGAAAGGGAGUUUGCGCUGUCGCCCCAAGCUGGAGUGCAAUGGAGCGAACAAGGAUCACUGCAACCUCUACCUCCUGCGUUCAAGCGAUUCUCCUGCCUCAGCCUCCUGAUUAGCUGGGAUUACAGGCGUCUGCCACCACGCCCAGCUAAUUUUUGUACUUUUAGUAGAGAUGGGGUUUGACCAUGUUGGCCAGGCUAGUUUUGUACUCCUGACCUCAAGUGCUGGGAUUAUAGGCAUGCGCCACAACGCCCAGCCUUGAAAAGAUAACAUUGGAAAAACUCUUCUGGACAUUGGCUUAGGCAAAUUCAUGACAAAGACCCCAAAAGCAAAUGCAACAAAGACAAAAAUAAAUAAAUUGAAUAAAUUAGAGCUAAUUAAACUGAAAAGCUUCUGCAGAGCAAAAGAAAUAAUCAGCACAUUAAAGAGAAAACCCACAGAGUGGAAGAAAAUAUUCACAAAGUAUGCAUCUGACAAAGGACUAGUAUCCAGAAUCUACAAGAAACUCAAACAAAUCAGCAAGAAAAUGACAAUUCCAUCAAAAAGUGGGCAAAAGACAUGAACAGCCAUUUUUCAAAAGAAGAUAUACAAACAGCCAACAAAUGAAUGAGAAAUGUUCAACAUCAGUGAAAUACAAAUUAAAACCACGAUGAGAUACCACGUAACUCCUGCAAGAAUGGCUAUAAUUCAAAAGUUAAAACCAUAGAUGUUGGUGUGGAUGUGAUGAAAAGGGAACACUUACACACUGCUGGUGUGAAUGUAAAUUAGUACAACCUCUAUGAAAAACAGUAUGGUGAUUCCUUAAAGAACUGAAAGUAGAUCUACCAUUUGAUCCAGCAAUCCCACUACUGGGUAUCUACCCAAAGGAAAAGAAGUCAUUACAUGAAAAAGACACAUGUACACGCAUGUUUAUAGCAGCACAAUUCACAGUUGCAAAGAUAUGGAACCGGCCUAAAUGCCCAUCAACCAAUGAGUGGAUAAAGAAAAUGUGUAUAUAUACAACAUGGAAUACUACUAGGCCAUAAAAAAGAACGAAAUAAUUUCUUUUGCAGCAACUUGGAUGGAGCUGGAGGCCAUUAUUCUAAAUGAGGUAACCCAGGAAUAAAAAACCAAAUGCCGCAUGUUCUCACUUAUCAGUGGGAGCUAAGCUGUGAGGACACAAACACAUACAAAGUGAUAUAAUGGACUUUGAUGACUGCAGGGUGGGGAGCUGGGAGUGGGGUGAGGGAUAAAAGAUUACAUAUUGAGUGGGUACAGUGUACACUGCUUUAGUGACAGGUGCACUAAAAUCUCAGAAUUCACCACUAAAGAACUCAUCCAUGUAACCAAAAACCACCUGUACCCCCAAAACUAUUAAAAUUUUUAAAAAUAAAAAAGUUAACUUCUAAACAUUAAAUAUACAUAAUAUAAAGUUUACAUUUUAAAAUUAUUUUUAUUCAGCAAUUGUUUUGUUUUAACACCCCUUCUUUCAAUGUUUUCUACUAUAAAAUGUCAAUGUCAGUUAAAGAUCAUUUUAACAUAUCAUUUUAAAACAUAUCAUUUUGUCCCAAUAUAUUGAUUUAUAAUAAUAAUUUUAAAUCAACUUUCUGUAAAAUCUUAUAGUAGAAAAAUGAUUCAUAGUUUAAUAUUAUGGUCACUUGUUACUAAUUAAAAAUAUGUAAAUAUGUAUUCUUAAAAAUAGAGAAUAAUACCAUUUCAGGAAUUCUGAUUAUUUGUUCUGAAAUUUCAAAGAUUACUAUCUGCUGGGAAUUUGGAAACCCUAUAAUAAUCUAAACCCAGCGACAGUGAAAACCAGGAGGCAGAUGGAGCCCAAAGGAAGAGAUGGAAGGGUCACUCUUGUGUGGCACCUUCCUAUCCUGGCCAGGCGGCAGUGCCUGGGGUAGUCGAAGGGAGCAGCAGUGAGGAUGAGACCUUCAAUUAGAGAAAGGACAAGAAGAGAACGUGGGAAGACCCACACUCGGGCCCACUUUGGUUAAUCCUCCUUAGUUUCCUUGUAAACUAUUAAGGCAGUUAAAUUUUCAACUGCUUGAAUUUACCUAUUUCAAAGAUUCAGCUUUUCACUUGACUUUGAUUGGUCACCAAGAAAAUAUAAGUAUUAUAGCCAUGUUAUUUUCAAAGAGGAAAGCAUGCCAGUCACUAGAACAGUGAGUGGUAUGUAGCAGGCACUCAGAAAACAUGUGUGAUAUGGGUUGAUCUGAGUCCCUGCCCAAAUUUCUUGUCGAAUUGUAAUCCCCAAUGUUGGAGGUGGGUCUGGUGGAAGGUGGUUGGAUCAUGGGGACAGAUUUCUGCCUUUGGUGCUGUUCUCAUGGUAGAGUUUUCAUGAGAACUGAUUGUUUAAAAGUGUGUAGCACCUCCCUCUCUCUCUCUGGCAUCUGCCCUGGCCAUGUAAUAUGUGCCAGCUUCCCCUUCACCUUUCACUGUUAUUGUAUGUUUCCUGAGGCCUCCCCGGAAAUGGAGCAGAUGCCAGAACCAUGCCUCUUGUACAGCCUGCAGAUCCAUGAACCAAUUAAACCUCUUUUCUUUAUAAAUUACCCAGUGUCAGGUAUUUCUUUAUAGCAAUGCAAGAAGGACUAAUACAAUGUGUUAAACUAAUUACUGGAUAAUGCAAUUCACAGAGGAACAGAGAAUCCUUUUACUUGGGACUGGCCAGUUUCCUGUAAGUCAAAAUUAUGCAAAUCCAAUCAAAUUUUCCAUAAAGAAAAUAUUGUGAUUGAAUUUUAGAUUCUUUAUCAUAACCUUGAAAUCCAUACAACCUCUGUAAAAUUUUAAAAGAUUGUGUCUUUUUUUAGCUUCAAUGAAUUGGAGAGUGAAGCAUCUGCUUUAAUGGGAAAUUUCAAAUUUCUUCAGCAAUAUCGUGAGAAUAAUCUCAGCAGAAGUCAAUAGGAGACUCAGAAGCAUAAGAAUACCUCCUAGAAUUUAAAUAUAAGAAAAACAAAUUGAAGUUAAUAGUCUUAUUUUCUCAUUGUAAAGUUGCCUGCUCAUCUUACUGUGUAUAAAAUUGGGAUCCAGUUAUUCAAAAUCAGUGUGUUUUGUGUGUAUUACUCAGCAGAGUAUUUACCAGGUUUACAAGUGUAGAUCACACAUCUAAGUCAAGGCCUGCCUUAUCACUUCUGGUCACCAACUAAUCCUUAAACUUUUUUUAUUCUAAAAAUAAUUGGGAGUAAAACAUCAACAAGUUAGCUGGACAACGUGUUUAAAGCUUUAAAACCUGCCUUGAAAACUGUGAUAGAUCAGUUUGAAUGCCAGGACUGUCGAUUCAAAGUGCCAAAUGUCUGCUAUAAUAAUUCCUAGCACAUAGGGAGUUCUAUGAGCCAGACUCUGCAUCUCAAGCUCUUCAGAGAUUUUAACUCAACCACUUUUCACAAAACCUUGUUUUUUGUGGAAGAAGUGCAAUUACCUUCCAUAUUUUACAGGGGAGGACACUAAGUAUCAGGGACAUGCAUUUUUUCCAGGCCCCAUGGCUAACACAUGGCAAAGCUAGGUCAACUUGGACGUUGGCCUUCAGAGUCAUUGAACCAUAACCCCUCCCCUCCUGCCUGGACAGCCCCAGAGCCGGCACUGCUGAGUCACAGUGACAAGACUUACCCUCUGGCCUUGAACAGCUCAAACUCUAAUGGAGUAAAUAGAUAAAUAAGCCACUGUGAUGAUAAUAAUAAUAAUAAAAAGUUAAAAAUGGCAAGAUAAGACCAUGAAGCAUGUGGUGUAACAAUUCAGGGAGAUGCCAUAGCUUAGCAGAUAAGAGCACAGACUCAGGACUGAGAUGAGUCUCACUCCAGUGCCAGCUGCAGAGGCUCAGCUGCAUCAGUCUCUCUGCUCUUCAGGGGUCUUAGCUGUAAAACAAGAAUGCUCUUCGUGGGAACUCAGAGAAUGGGCAUGUCAGGUAUUCAGAGCAGUCCUGUAGCCCAGAAAGCCUAAGUCAGUACUAUCAUGAUCAUGGAAGAGUAGAUUAUUGAAGCUGACUUAGAAGAACUGGAAAGACUUCUUGAAGGGCUUUAGAUUUCAGCUGAGCCUUGAAACAAGAGUUGUUAUUUUAAAACAGAAACAAAAAGGAAAAACUCCAAUAGUCUGGAUGCAGCCAACAAAGCACCUUCCAGACAACAGAAGCAGCUGGGAAAUGAAACAACAAACAAACAAGGCAAAGCCACAUCUCAGAACAGGGCAUGUUGUAUGGACUCAUGUACUUGGAAAGUGAGGUUCAGGGAAAUUCCAAGUGAAUGGCAGGAAAUAAAGCUGGAAACCUAAGGAAGGACUAGGCCCUAAGGCAGAGAGAGAUUCUUUAAGUACCUCAGCCCAUAGGGACAAAUCAUCGGUUUUCCUUUUACCUAAACGGAAACAUGUUUCUUGUCUUAGAGAAUUAUGUUUUCUUUUCGGUUUAUUUUCUAUUUUAAAUUUAAAAUUUGAAUUGUAAGCCUAUAGGAUCCCAAGAGUUCCAAACUCUAUAUUUUUCUUACUCCUUUAACUCUGCCUUCAGCAUAUGUCAUGGUAAAAUGUAAAUUAACCUAAAUCUAUACAAUAAAAAUAAAAUAAAAAUUAGACGGG
rnacentral:lncRNA from 1 species